rnacentral:misc_RNA from 1 species
AAGUCGUAACAAGGUUUCCGUAGGUGAACCUGCGGAAGGAUCAUUAAUGAAGUUUGGGCUUCGGCCCUCUCUCUUCUAAAACACUUGUGAACAUACCCUGUUGCUUUGGCAGGUCUUCCGACGGAGGUUCCAAACUUCCCGAGGAUCAGAUCGAGAGAUGCCUGCCAAGGACAUUCAAUCACCCUUUUUUUAUCGUCUGAUUUUUUGUUUUCAACAAAAUAUAAUAAAA